rnacentral:rRNA from 1 species
UAGUCCACGCCGUAAACGAUGUCUAUUAGGAGGUUGUUCCCUUGAGGAGUGGCUUCCAAAGCUAACGCAUUAAAUAGACCGCCUGGGGAGUACGGCCGCAAGGUUAAAACUCAAAUGAAUUGACGGGGGCCCGCACAAGCGGUGGAGCAUGUGGUUUAAUUCGAUGCAACGCGAAGAACCUUACCUACUCUUGACAUCCAGAGAACUUUCCAGAGAUGGAUUGGUGCCUCCGGGAACUCUGAGACAGGUGCUGCAUGGCUGUCGUCAGCUCGUGUUGUGAAAUGUUGGGUUAAGUCCCGCAACGAGCGCAACCCUUGUCCUAUGUUGCCAGCACGUAAAGGUGGGAACUCAUGGGAGACUGCCGGUGAUAAACCGGAGGAAGGUGGGGACGACGGUCAUGUCAUCAUGGGCCCUUACGUCCUGGGGCUACACACGUGCUACAAUGGAACGCACAGAGGGCUGCAACCUCGCGAGAGUGAGCGAAUCCCA